rnacentral:rRNA from 1 species
UACGUAGGUGGCGAGCGUUGUCCGGAAUUAUUGGGCGUAAAGGGAGCGCAGGCGGGAGAGCAAGUCUAUCUUAAAAGUGCGGGGCUCAACCCCGUGAGGGGAUAGAAACUGUUCUUCUUGAGUGCAGGAGAGGAAAGCGGAAUUCCUAGUGUAGCGGUGAAAUGCGUAGAUAUUAGGAGGAACACCAGUGGCGAAGGCGGCUUUCUGGACUGUAACUGACGCUGAGGCUCGAAAGCCAGGGGAGCGAACGGG